rnacentral:rRNA from 1 species
GAUGAACGCUGGCGGCGUGCUUAACACAUGCAAGUCGAACGAAGCAUUUAGGACAGAUUACUUCGGUUUGAAGUUCUUUAUGACUGAGUGGCGGACGGGUGAGUAACGCGUGGGUAACCUGCCUUGUACUGGGGGAUAGCAGCUGGAAACGGCUGGUAAUACCGCAUAAGCGCACAAUGUUGCAUGACAUGGUGUGAAAAACUCCGGUGGUAUAAGAUGGACCCGCGUCUGAUUAGCUAGUUGGUGAGAUAACAGCCCACCAAGGCGACGAUCAGUAGCCGACCUGAGAGGGUGACCGGCCACAUUGGGACUGAGACACGGCCCAGACUCCUGCGGGAGGCAGCAGUGGGGAAUAUUGCACAAUGGAGGAAACUCUGAUGCAGCGACGCCGCGUGAGUGAAGAAGUAAUUCGUUAUGUAAAGCUCUAUCAGCAGGGAAGAUAGUGACGGUACCUGACUAAGAAGCGCCGGCUAAAUACGUG